GCCGGGCGCAGUGGCGCGUGCCUGUGGUCCCAGCUAUUCAGGAGGCUGAGGCCGGAGGAUCUCUUGAGUCUAGGAGCUCUGGGCUGUAGUGCACUGUGCCAACCGGGUGUCUGCAGUAAGUUUGGCAUCAAUAUGGUGACCCCCUGGGAGCGAGGGACCACCAGGUUGCCUAAGGAGGGGUGAAUCUGCCCAGGUCGGAAACAGAGCAGGUCAAAACUCCUGUGCUGAUGAUUAGUGGGAUCUCGCCUGUGAAUAGCCACUGUACUCCAGCCUGGGCAACAUAGGAAGACCCUGUCUUU
rnacentral:SRP_RNA from 1 species